UACGUAGGGGGCAAGCGUUGUCCGGAAUCAUUGGGCGUAAAGCGCGUGUAGGCGGCUCGAUAAGUCUGCUGUGAAAGUCCAGGGCUCAACCCUGGGAUGCCGGUGGAUACUGUCGAGCUCGAGUCCGGAAGAGGAGUGUGGAAUUCCUGGUGUAGCGGUGAAAUGCGCAGAUAUCAGGAGGAACACCAAUGGCGAAGGCAGCACUCUGGGACGUGACUGACGCUGAGACGCGAAAGCGUGGGGAGCAAACAGG
rnacentral:rRNA from 1 species